AAUGCACUGUAAUGACAUCAAGGGAGACUGAUUAAGAAACCUUUAAAUUAAAACAUCAGAUGCUUUUCCGAUCUCAAAACCUCAAUUUCCACAAAUAAUAAUUCAAUAAGAUCUCUAAUAAUGGAACUAGUAAAAUAACCCCUUUAUACAUUUUAUGUGUGCACUGCAGGUAUAAAUUGGGGUUGUGAACAUUUGUUUGUAGCUUAAAACUAAUGCAGCUUUAUCCAUUUAGCUCAGUCUUUUUUGUUUUAUUUUCUAAUACGCUGAUCUUAGACCCAUUCACAUCUACUUAUAAGAAUGGCGUGUCAAAUUUUGACUUGAACAACAGUCAGGUCAAGGUAUAAACAUGAAACGUUGCUAAAGCACACGGCUAACAAUUUGAACCAGAUAAUGACAAAAGUGCACCGCUGUAGCGUUACUCAUAAUCACCAGUAGCUACAGCGAACAUUGUGAGAAUCGAGCUACAAGUGAAAUGACGAAAUGAAGUGUUUUAUUUCUAAUUUUUGGCUAAUGCAAAUAGGCCGUCUUGUUAGCUUGUUAAUGUUAGCUAGUUGAUGUGCCAAGAGUGAAGCUAACUUAAUCAAGACUAUUAUCUAAAGAUAGCAGUAUAACACCGUCAUGCUAAAAAUAUUGUUAACUAAGCUAAUAUAACCAAAUAUGUUUGCCCUUACCUUCACGUGCUUCCGUAGAUUUGACGGGGAAUUUUUGUAAGCCAUUAUUUCAACUAGCUUUGGAGUGCAAAGCAGACACUUCAUGCGGAAAGAAUCUGACUUGACCCCAACACAAUCAAAGAGGGAGUGAAGAUAAGGCCAUGGGUGUCCAGCGUCUUUAUCCAAUGAAGGGAUUUCUUCAUCACUGCGAUGUCUCGUUUUCAGCCAUUGUGAGCAUGUGCAAGCCAAGCGCUAAAUGCUCAGUUGGCGGGUCCAAGCUAUGUCCAGGCAGGCAGGCUAGUGCUGCGUUCAUGUUCUCUGGUAAAGAGGAGUCUUCCCCUUGGGAACUCGUAAAUAUGAGGGUGUCUGGUUCAUGUAAUUUUGUUGAGGGAGAAAGGGAAAAAAACGAUUGUAGUGCACUUUAUUUAAACUCUUAUAAGCAGAAGAAAAGGUAAAAUCUUUUUUUGACUUAUUCAAUAAUCUUAUAGAAGAUGUGCAAGGAAAAAUAUAAUCCAAAUGAACAGUUAUUGAAACUUCACAGUCACGUCAAAAAAAUAAUAAAAAUGUAAAUAAAAUUGUAAAAUAAUAUGAAAAGGCGUUUUGUUUUAUUUAUUUACUUUUUUUUUUACCUGGAAAACACUUGAUUUUUCUGAUUAUUUAAAAAUCUUUCGCCUCUAUCCUUCAUUUUGAAAGGUCAAUUAUUACAUCAAUUUGGCAACUAAAGCAUCAACAAAUCUCUCCGUUUCCCAGUGGUAAAUACCACACCACAUUCAGUCCUGUGCGCUGGGAAAGUCGUAUUUUCUACUAAAUUGGCUUCACUUGAACGCAGCACAGGUCUCACUUUGGUCUCACUAGCGGGCUCGUGGCCCAGUGAUGGAGCACAGCGCUAAACUGGUCAUUAUUUUACUCAAACCUGUUAGAAAAGUACUUAAGUAAAAGUAGCAGUAACGAAGUGGCUUCUUGAAAAUGUAGUGGAGUAAAAGUAUAUUUUUUAAUUCAGAAAUGUAGUGGGGUAAAAGUAAAAAGUCAUGAAGAAAAAAAUAACUCAAGUAAAGUACAAGUACUGCCAAAUUAUACUUAAGUACUGUACUUAAGUAUUAUUACUUUGUUACUAUACAACACUGAUUAGGACUAAAUCCUGUACUUUUUUGAAUAACCUCCCGAGCUGCCAACAAUAGCCACAGCAAACCCUUCUCCCAGUCUGCCUUCAACUCUGUGCAGUAAGCAUGCAGUAACAAUUUUAAAUGCUUGAAAAUCACUAAAUUUUCUGUUAUAUAUGGCUAAAAUAUGGGGUGAAAACGUACAUAUUUAAUUUGAACAUUUAACAUAGAAGGAUUUAUAGAAGCAAGUUGUGCUUGGUGUCAAAAUUUAGGGCAAUUCCUGUACUUUCACAUUGUUGAGCUGAAUCUCAGGACAUGGGACCUUUAAAAAAAAAAAAAAAAAAAAAAAAAAAAAAAAAAAAACUACACUUCCCAGAAUGCACUGGUAGCAGCAAGGAGGGACCUGACACCUGGUGCUUGACAGCUUGACACCUGAUCAGUGAUCACUGAUAUAGAGCACCUGGGAAGGACUGGGGGAAGCUCAGCCAGUCUGGCAAACACACUUCAGAAGAGAGACACGAGGAAAGAACAAAGAAGAGCCAAGUCCACUCAUGGAUUCAGUCCAAAGACGCCAAUGGUUGGUGAAAUGUUUAUUUGCUUUUUAUGUGCAAGUUUAUGUUAACUGCACUGUAUGAUUGGUUGAUUUAAAUGAUUAAGAGACUAAUAUGUAAACUUUUUGGUUCUGUGUUUGAUGCUAUGAAUGUUGUUUCUUUCUUUAAAGGUUUACAACCUAUUGAAAUACUCUGACCAACCAACUAGAAGGAAAAUAAAGUUUUGUGUUGGAAGUUUAAAACUGAGUUGUCCUCGCGUCCUUUGGAGGGAAAGAGAGGUGGACUUAACAGUUGUAAACCACGCGGAGCAGCCUGGCCCUGAGGAUAAACGGCUUCAGAACCAGAAAUAAGCUGUUGACGCAGAGGAAGUCAAGAUGGCGGAAGAUGUCCUGGGGAAGUCGGUCAAGGAGCUCAAAAAAGAGAGGACCACUGCAAAAAGCAGCUUCACCAGACAAGCCAACUUCAUUUCAAGAGGAGCAAGCAGCAUGCUUCAAGUGGAAUUAAAGGAGGAAUUCACUAAACUUUCAGACUGUUUCAGAAAGAUGCUCAAUGCCAAUGAUGAUUACCGGAUUGGACUGGAGGCUGACAUUAAGACUGAGAAUGAGGAAGCAGAUCUUGAUGAACAGCAAGAGGCCGAUAUUGACAGAUCUGUAAAAGAAGGUGAAACAAAGUUAGCAGAAAUAAGAGACAUUGUUCAAACAAACCUGUGGUCAAGGUACGGGAAGAGUGAACUUGAUGUGGCAAUCCUGGAAGCAGAAAAAGCCGCUGAUAGAGCGGCUGGUGUAACUGUGGAAAGCAGCAAUUUGGAGGGCUAUGAAGUGCACCUCAUUCUCUUGGACAAAAGAGUGAAGGAGGCCAUCUCAGCAAUGUCAACAUGGGAGAGAUGGAUCCCUGCGGAAUUAAAGGAUGAACUGGAUGGAAGAGUCAAGGAUGUGAGAGCAUCCUAUUACAGCCUUGAAUUAAGGAAAGCUGACUUUGCCACUGCUCGGAUGAGGGAUGAAAAACUCACAGGAGUGAAACUACCACCCCAACUGGCAACGCCCACACCAAUGGUGAGAAUCCAGCCAAUCACUCUACCUAUCUUCAAUGGAAACAAGAGAGAAUAUCACAGAUGGAGGAAAGACUGGGAAAGCCUGCAAAAGCAGGGAGAGCCAUCUGGUUCAAUUGAAGUUAAGAAAAUUCAACUCUUGGAGAGUGUGGAUGACAAAAUCUCAAAAGAUCUCAGACUUUCCACCUAUACCACUGCCAAUGACAUGUUCAGAGUUCUGGAGAACAGAUAUGGCAACAAGUUAACCAUCACUGUGGAAAUCCUUGAAGAGCUGGAGAAGAUGCCACAUGUGAAGGGGAACCAGCCAAGAAAGGUCAUUGACCUCAUACAGUCAGUGGAGAAGGCCCUAGCAGAUCUCACAGAAUUAGGAAACUCUGGAGCCAUAAAGAACCCACUGGUAGUUAAAUCCAUUGAAAGUAAGUUGCCUGACUUUAUUAAGAGAGACUGGCUGAUGUUCAUGGUCGAACCUAGAAACAACGUCACAUCAGACAACCACUUUGACAUGCUCUUGAAGUUCCUGAAAAGUCAAGAAGAAAUACUAGAGAGACUCGAACAGCUCAGGACUGUGGAGAAAACGGAGAAGACAGAUCGUUUUGACAAGAAGUACGAGAGAAAGAUUGCCUCAACAAAAACCACAAAGAAGGAAAAACUUGAUGAGGUAUGUGGUGUUUGCGGUGAUGGUGGGCACAACAACAAAAUCUUCUUCUGUAGAAAGUUCAAAAGACUUAAGCUACCUGAAAAGAAAGCUGUAUUGAGAAAGCUGGGAGCAUGCAGGAAAUGUCUUGGAUGCCAUGAUGAAGAUGGAUACUGCAGAGACACUUUCCUAUGCAGAAACAAAGACUGUAAAAGGGGAGGCGAUGCCCCAGACCACCAUUUCUUCCUCUGCCCAAAAGGAGAAGUCAAAAGAGGUGAAGAGGAAAGGAGUGGAAAAUACAGCAAAGGUGAAAGCACACUGACGGAGGAACAAAAGCAGAUCUUGUCUGAACUUACCCCAGAAAUGGCAGAUCGAUGCAGGAAAGCUUUUACCAACACCAACAAGACCACGGGGACAUUCGAUGCUUCAGGCCAGUCUGACCUACUGCAGAGAAAUGGGCUCGCUGAACUUCCUGUCAUUAUGAUGUUGAUGCAAGUCACUGCAAAUGCAGGGCAGAAAAUUGGGACUUUAAUUGACCUUGCUUCAGAUACAAACUACAUCACCCAUAAGGCUGCUGAAAGACUGAGGUUAAGAAAUGAGAAGAUAACCUUAGUUGUGCAUGGAGUUGGUGGAAUGACCAUGAAGGUGAACACACAAAGGUAUCUCCUCAAAGUCAGAGUCAAGACUCCUAAAGGAACAGAGAGAGCUCAUGAAAUGGUCUGCUACGGCUUGGAUGAAAUCGCCAGAGUGCAUCAAGUAAUUGAACCUGAGCAAUUGAAAAAAUUCUUCCCAGAAGUCAAACUUGAAGAAUUGGAAAGGCCAGAAGAGGUUGAACUUCUCAUUAGCCACCGAGAGGGAAGGCUCGCUCCCCAGAGAGUGAAAGUCAUUGGAGACCUCGUCUUGUGGGAGGGUCCAUUGGGGAAAACAGUGGGUGGAGCGCAUCCCGACUUGUUUGAAGAAGUGGAGGUGGCAGCAUAUGAGUCCAAGACACACUUUGCUCGCUCCAUGAGGACAGCAGCUGUCAAAUAUCAAGAACUCAGAAUUCAUUCGACUGACAUAGCCCAGCUACAGCAGGAGGACAUGGCUCAGACCAAAUUCACAGCUUCCAGUAACCGUAACUUCCUUGAGUGGUGGCACUGGGACAGCAUCGGCGCUGCUUGUGAGCCAAGAUGUGGAGGAUGCCGAUGUGGAAACUGUCCACCAGGAGGAAAAGAAAUGACCCUGGCAGAGGAGAUGGAGCUUGAUGUCAUUAAAAGAGGCCUCACCUACAGAAAAGGAGAUGCUCACACACCAUCUCCACACUGGGAUGCAAAGUAUCCUUGGACAGUAGAUCCAGCCUCUCUUCCAAAUAACAAAGGUGCAGUCCAAGCUUGUUUCUUAAGGAUGGAAAAGCAACUGAGCAGGGAGCCAGACUGGAAAGUUGCAUAUGCUACACAGAUCCAUGAAAUGGUGGAACGAGGUGCGGCCAUACAACUCACCAACGAAGUCAUGGACCAGUGGAACGGACCAGUGUGGUAUGUAAGCCACCUGGUGGCACCAAACCCUCAUUCAGUGACAACACCAGUUCGUAUUGUAUGGAAUAGUAGCCAGAAGUACAAAGGCGUGAGCAUGAAUGAUCUUCUUCUGAAGGGACCAGACGUCCUCAACCCUAUCAGAGCUGUUUUGCUGAGGUUCAGAGAAGGAAUGCAUGCAGCUCUAGGAGACAUCAAAAAGAUGUACAACUCUGUAUGGCUGGAGGAUCGCGAGAUGCAUCUUCACAGGUUCCUCUGGAGGGCCAGCCCAGAUGAAGAGAUAAGUGAAUAUGCAAUUACCAGAGUCAAUAUAGGAGACAGACCGGCUGGUUGCAUUGCUCAGGUGGCCAUGAGGGAAACAGCCAGCCUGCCCAACUUUGUUCACUUGGAGGUUGAACGCAGAGUCAUUGAAGAGGACAGUUAUGUGGAUGACCUUUUAACCUCCCACAAUGACUUAAACAAACUCAACAAAAUCACAGCAAAUGUUGAAGAGAUCUUGAAGGCUGGUGGUUUCUUCCUCAAACCAUGGGUCCGGUCAGGGCAGAGUGGGAGGCAAGGGAUAGAGACAGAGGCUCUAACAAAGAAACAAGAUAGAACCUUUAUUCUUCCAAAUCAAAUGAGGGAUGAAGACAACAAAGCUUUGGGCAUUGGCUACCAAAUUGAUGAAGACAAGCUCUACAUGUUAACCUCAGUUAACUUUUCCAAAAGAAAGAAGAAGAUGAGGAUUGGAAAAAAUCUUCUCAAAGAGGAGGUGAGAACUGAGACACCUAAUCCACUGACUAGGAGGGCUCUCUUAAGUCAAGUGGCUGGACUGUAUGACCCAAUUGGCUUAGUUACACCUGCCAAACAGAAGGGAGCAAUUCUUGUUAGAAAGGCAUUCCAAGAGGGAAGGGGUGGCAAGCUAACCCAAGAAACCUGGGACCAACCUCUUUCAAACAGUCUCAGAGAAGAAGCCAUACAGCUUUUUGAAGAAUAUGUGCAGCUUGGACAGGUAAAAUUCCACAGAAGCCUCACGCCAGCUGACUGGAAAGGAAAACCUUGGGGCAUCACAUUCUCAGAUGGAAGUGAAAAAACCUAUGGAGCGGUUAUGUACAUAAGAUGGGAGACAAGUCAAGGCACUGAAGUUCGAUUGGUGGAAUCAAAGGCCAAGCUGACACCUCUGGAUCAGAAGGGAGAAGCUGUAAAAGCUGAAAUCUGUGGUGCUGUCUUCGCUGCCAGGAUCAGGAAGUAUGUGGAAAAACAUGCUCGAAUGAAGAUCGAGAGAUGGUUCCAUCUACUUGACAGUCAAACAGUCUUAGGAGCCAUUCAAAGAGACAGUUAUGGGUACAAAACCUUCUUUGCAAAUAGAGUGGGUGAAAUCCAGAAGGCUGGACCAGUGCAAGACUGGUGGUGGGUCCGUGGAGAGAUGAACAUAGCUGAUCUCAUAACAAGAGGAGGCACUCCUGAAGAUUUGAAGGAGGAUUCCAUAUGGCAAAAUGGACCAGAGUUCCUGAAGUGGCCUGUGGAGGAGUGGCCUAUAAAAUCAGCUGGUGAGGUCGCAGCUCAUGCCAGGGAAAGUGUAAACAAGCUUCAGAGGAAGGCUUUCUCAAGUGCGUUAACAAGAGCUCAAGCAAGGAGUCGUCAGCAGAAGGAGGACCUACAAACCACUCAAAGUCAAAAAAGUGAAACCCAAGAGGAAAAACCUGUGGUAAAACCAACUCUUCUUCUAAGAAGGAAGCCCACUGGCUGGGUUAAAGAUACUGUGGAAGUAAGAAGAUUCAGCAGCCUGUCCAAACUGGUGAGAGUCGUCGCCUGGGUUUGCCUAGCUGCCAAGCAGUGGCUGAAGAGGAAGUGUCGGGCCCCAAAACAGUCAAAGUGGGAGGAAACAUCACCCAAGCAAGCUGUGCUGACUGUCAGCGAACUUGAAGAUGCACUCAAUGACAUCUUCCUUGCAGCUCAAGAAGGUGCAGUUUUUCCUGACACAACGCUAAGCAGAUUAGCGGUAUACAAGGAUGUAAACUCUGGACUGCUAGUUUGUGGAGGCAGAAUUCAAAUGUUCAAUGAAGAUAAGACGGCAGUACCAGUUUUACCCUUUGAAGCAUGGGUGUCUACAUUGCUGGCACAAGAAUCCCACAAAGCAAACCACGAGGGAGUGGCAGGAACUCUUCUCCGGAUGAGGAAGAAAGCCUGGGUGAUAAAAGGCCGAAGACUUGCUAAGAAAACGGUUGACAGCUGUGUGGUCUGCAGAAAACAUAAGGCAAAACAGUGUCAACAAAUCAUGGCUGACCUGCCUCUGGAACGAACUGGCCCAGCUGCACCUUUUGAAUUCACCACCAUGGACCUGUUUGGCCCUUAUGAAGUUAAAGAUGAGGUCAAGAAGAGAACUAGACUCAGAGUAUGGGGAAUCGUCUUCUGCUGCAUGGCUUCCCGAGCCAUACACACUGAAGUGGUGAGUGACAUGUCAUCAGAAGGAUUCCUGCUAGCCUAUCAAAGAUUCACUUCACUGAGAGGACACCCAAGGAAACUCUGGUCAGACCCAGGCACUAACUUUGUAGGGGCCAAGCCUGCUCUGGAACAGCUUCACAAGUUCCUUGACCGACUAAACAAGUAUGAACUUGAAGACACAGCUGCCAAACAUGGAACAGAGUGGUCUUGGAAGAUCCACCCUGCAGACUCCCCGCAUAGGAAUGGUGCAGCAGAGGCAGCUGUUAAAGUAGUGAAGCGGGCAUUAAGCAACCUUGGUGGAGAUGGCGUUUUUUCAUGGGGAGAAUUCCAAACGUUCCUCUUCAUGGCAGCCAACCUUGCAAAUGAGAGACCCAUUGAUGCAAGAACUCAAAGCAGAGAAGACUGUAUAGAGUACAUCACACCAAAUUCUCUGCUUUUAGGACGUGCAAGUCCAAAGGGAGACCCUGGAGAUUUCCAGUUUGAAGGCUACCCCUACAAAAGACUUCAAAGUAUCCAAGCGGAAGUAAACAAAUUCUGGAGGAAGUGGAGCCAAUUGGCUGGCCCUAAUCUGUUCAUAAGGAACAAAUGGCACACCGAAAAUCGAAACGUUGCUGUUGGAGAUGUGGUCUGGUUGGCUGACCAAAACGCCUUGAGAGGACAGUACAAGCUGGCUAGAGUGGUCAGUGUUAAUGCUGACAGCAAAGGCAUUGUAAGAGAUGUGCUUGUGAAGACUUUUCCCAGCUAUCCUGUUCCCAUCACAAAGCCAAAUGACAAGAAAGGGCCCACAAAGGAAAAAAGUGCAAGAACCAAGAGGCUUCAGACGAAGAUCCCAGCCACAAUUCUUCAUAGAGAUGUCAGACGCCUUGUCAUUCUACUUCCCACUGAAGAACAAUGAGAGGUGUAAAGGACUUGUGACCUCGCUGAGUUUGGAAAAACCAGGAGGUCAAGUGGGAGGUGUUGAGCUGAAUCUCAGGACAUGGGACCUUUAAAAAAAAAAAAAAAAAAAAAAAAAAAAAAAAACUACACUUCCCAGAAUGCACUGGUAGCAGCAAGGAGGGACCUGACACCUGGUGCUUGACAGCUUGACACCUGAUCAGUGAUCACUGAUAUAGAGCACCUGGGAAGGACUGGGGGAAGCUCAGCCAGUCUGGCAAACACACUUCAGAAGAGAGACACGAGGAAAGAACAAAGAAGAGCCAAGUCCACUCAUGGAUUCAGUCCAAAGACGCCAAUGGUUUACAACCUAUUGAAAUACUCUGACCAACCAACUAGAAGGAAAAUAAAGUUUUGUGUUGGAAGUUUAAAA